GAUGAACGCUCGCUACAGGCUUAACACAUGCAAGUCGAGGGGCAGCAUGGUCUUAGCUUGCUAAGGCCGAUGGCGACCGGCGCACGGGUGAGUAACACGUAUCCAACCUGCCGUCUACUCUUGGACAGCCUUCUGAAAGGAAGAUUAAUACAAGAUGGCAUCAUGAGUCCGCAUGUUCACAUGAUUAAAGGUAUUCCGGUAGACGAUGGGGAUGCGUUCCAUUAGAUAGUAGGCGGGGUAACGGCCCACCUAGUCUUCGAUGGAGAGGGGUUCUGAGAGGAAGGUCCCCCACAUUGGAACUGAGACACGGUCCAAACUCCUACGGGAGGCAGCAGUGAGGAAUAUUGGUCAAUGGGCGAGAGCCUGAACCAGCCAAGUAGCGUGAAGGACGACUGCCCUAUGGGUUGUAAACUUCUUUUAUAAAGGAAUAAAGUCGGGUAUGGAUACCCGUUUGCAUGUACUUGAUGAAUAAGGAUCGGCUAACUCCGUG
rnacentral:rRNA from 1 species